GCGGGUGCCACUUUUUCUUUGCUAAAAACCGUCCGCUUAUCCUGCCUUUUUCUUUCGACCGAUCAAAUCGACUGAGGGUUUAAAGGUCAACUUCUCUCUUAACCAGCCUUAGAACAAUUAAUUAAUACUCCAAAAACAUAAAACAAAAGCAAACUCGCACCGCCAACGUGUUUUCCGAUGGCGAUCCUUUUUCGUGGAUCAUUUCUUCAAUUCGCAGAACCAUAUAAGAGAAGAUAGCAAUCUGGUGCAAACCGCUUAUCAUAAACCAUGUUCGAAGCUCACGUUCUGCAUUUGCUUCGAAGAUAUUUGGGUGAAUAUGUCCAUGGACUUUCUGCGGAGGCAUUAAGAAUCAGUGUUUGGAAAGGUGAUGUGGUAUUGAAAGAUUUGAAUUUGAAGGCAGAGGCACUAAAUUCAUUAAAGCUUCCUGUUACUGUCAAAGCUGGUUUUGUUGGUACCAUAACAUUGAAGGUUCCCUGGAAAAGCUUAGGCAAGGAACCGGUAAUUGUUCUCAUUGAUCGUGUCUUCAUUCUCGCCCAUCCUGCUCCUGAUGGCCAGACUCUCAAGGAUGACAGGGAGAAACUUUUUGAAGCCAAACUUCAGCACAUUGAGGAAGCAGAAUCAGCAAUCCUAGAAGCAAAAUCAAGGUCAAAGCAUGGCAGUCCUCCUGAAAAUUCAUGGUUUGGAUCUCUAAUUGCUACCAUCAUUGGAAAUCUAAAGAUAUCAAUCAGCAAUGUACAUAUCAGAUAUGAGGAUUCUGUUAGUAAUCCAGGGCAUCCGUUUGCAUCAGGUAUUACUUUGGCUAGGCUGGCAGCUGUUACUAUGGAUGAGCAGGGAAAUGAAAUUUUUGAUACCAGUGGCGCUUUGGAUAAGUUGCGAAAGUCAUUACAUCUUGAGAGGCUUGCUCUGUAUCAUAAUUCUAAUAGCUUCCCCUGGAAGAUAGAUAAGAGAUGGGAAGAUCUCAGUCCCGCGGAGUGGAAUGAGAUAUUUGAAGAUGGUAUUAAUGAACCUGCUGCUGAUUCUGGAAUGGUAUCUUCUUGGGCUUUGAGUUGCAAGUACUUGGUGUCACCUAUUAAUGGAGUGCUUCAAUAUCACCGCCUUGGAAAUCAAGAAAGAAAUGAUCCAGAGAUUCCUUUUGAGAAGGCUUCGCUUGUAUUGACUGAUGUAUCAUUAACUAUUACAGAGGAGCAAUAUCAUGAUUGGAUGAAACUGUUAGAGGUGUUUUCAAGACACAGGACAUUUGUGGAAGUUUACCACUUAAGGCCUUUCUUGCCAGUUUCAGAGGUUCCUCGUUUGUGGUGGCGUUAUGCUGUUCAAGCUUCCCUUCAGCAGAAGAAAAUGUGCUAUCGUUUCUCGUGGGACAAAAUUCAGCAUCUCUGUCAGCUUCGUCGUCGUUAUGUUCAGUUAUAUGCUUGUUCCUUGCAACAAUCAUCAACUGUUGAUAACUCAGAAAUUAGAGAAAUAGAGGCAGAUCUUGAUUCCAAAGUAAUUCUUUUAUGGAGGUUACUUGCACAUGCCAAGGUUGAAUCAGUAAAAUCAAAAGAAGAAACUAAAAAGAGGCGGCUUAAAAAGAAAAGUUGGUUCCGAUAUACAUGGCUUCCGAACUCAGAGGGUGCCUCUGUUGGGGAUGCUUUGAAGGAAUCACAGCUAGUGGAAGAAAGUCUGACUAAUGAAGAAUGGCAGACAAUAAAUAAGUUGCUAAGUUACCAGCCGGAUGAGGAGUUGAUGUUACAUUUAGGAAAGGACAUGCAUAACAUGACCAAGUUUUUAGUGACUGUAUCUAUUGGUCAAGCUGCAGCAAGGAUUAUGAGUAUCAAUGAAACUGAAAUCCUUUGUGGUCGGUUUGAGCAACUUCAUGUUUCAACCAAGUUCAAACAUUGCAGUACUCACUGUGAUAUAUUAUUGAAAUUCUAUGGCUUAUCUUCACCUGAAGGUUCACUUGCUGAGAGUGUCUCCAGUGAGACGAAGGAAAAUGCAUUAGCUGCUACUUUUGUACGUUCACCAGUUGGGGAGAAUGUUGAUUGGAGGCUAUCAGCUACAAUUUCCCCCUGCCAUGUUACGGUUUUGAUGAAAAGUUUUGAUAAGUUUUUUGAGUUUAUAAAGAGAAGUAAUGCAAUUAGCCCAACUAUUGCAUUGGAAACUGCCACUGCUUUGCAGAUGAAGUUUGAGAAAGUGACUCGUCGAGCACAAGAGCAAUUUCAAAUGGUCUUGGAAGAACAAAGCAGUUUUGCUCUUGACAUUGAUCUUGAUGCUCCAAAGGUUAGAGUUCCUAUAAGGACCUCUAGCUUCUCCAGAUGUGAUAGCUAUUUUCUCUUGGAUUUUGGUCAUUUUACUCUGCACACCAUGGGAGGCCAUUCUGAGGAAAAUAAGCAAAAUAUUUAUUCUCGUUUCUACAUAUCUGGAAGAGAUAUUGCUGCUUUUUUCAUAGAUGGCACUUUUGACACUCGGCAGUGUACUUCGGUCAUAGCAAUGGAUUAUAGUCAACCAGUUGUAUCUCCUACAAUGGAAAAAGUUGACAGUUUCUAUUCUCUCAUUGAUAGGUGUGGAAUGGCAGUAAUUGUUGAUCAGAUCAAAGUUCCUCAUCCAAGUUAUCCAUCGACUCGUGUUUCUGUUCAAGUGCCAAAUCUUGGUGUUCACUUUUCACCUGAGCGAUAUCUCCGACUCAUGGAAUUAUUAAACUUACUUAAAGGUACUAUGGAAACCUAUGGUCAGCCUUGUAUUGAUGAUUUCCAAGCCAACCUAGCCCCUUGGUGUCCUGCUGAUCUUGCUGUUGAGGCUAGAAUUCUAGUAUGGACGGGGAUUGGCAAUUCUGUUGCUGCUUGGCAACCUUGUUUUCUUGUGUUAUCUGGUUUAUAUCUCUAUGUCAUGGAAUCUGAAAAGUCCAAGAGCUACCAGCGAUACUUGAGUAUGGCUGGUAGGCAUGUGUUUGAGAUUCCACCGGCAAAUAUUGGUGGUUCACCAUUUUGUAUUGCUAUAAGUUUCAGAGGAAUGGAUAGUCAAAAGCAGGCUCUGGAAUCUUCUGGUACAUUGAUUAUAAAGUUUUGGGAAGACAGCGAGAAGGCAACUUGGCUGAAAGAACUUAUGGGGGCCACAUAUCAAGCCUCAGCUACUCCAAUGGAUGAUGUACUUUCAGAAAAAACUGAUGGUGUAGCUGAGUUUAAUGAACUCCAGACAACAAAUUUGAAAACAGCGAACCUUGUCAUUGAUGGGGCAUUGGUGGAAACAACGUUAUUUAUAUAUGGAAAGAGUGGAGACAAAGUAGAAGAGAAACUUGAAGAGACUUUAAUUCUUGAGGUUCUUGCUGAUGGGGCAAAGGUGCACUUAAUUAGUUUGGAUGGUGACCUAGGUGUCAAGAUGAAUUUGCACUCCUUGAAAAUUAAAGAUGCUCUUCAAGAUCGACAAUCUGCAAAUCAACAGUACUUAGCAUAUUCUGUGCUGAAGAAGGAUGAUUUACUUACUCCUCAUGGCACUUGUGAUACCCUUGAGAAGGAGUCGUCUGUUGUACAUAAAGAGGAGGACGAUACUUUUACAGAUGCUUUGCCAGAAUUUCUAACUGUAACAGAAAUGGAUGUUUAUUCACCAAAAGUGGAUACAUCACCAAGUAGCAUGAUUAAUGGAAUGAAUCAUUCUGAUGAAUUUGAGUCUGCUGAAGCCUUAAUUCAUGAAAAUGAUUUAAUUCAAGGAAAGGGAAUUUCUAGUGAGAUAUUUUAUGAGGCACAAGGUGGUGAGAGUUCGGAUUUUGUUUCUGUUGCUUUCUCAAUGAGGAGUUCCAGUUCUCCUGAUUAUCAGGGUAUAGAUAUGCAGAUGAGUAUCCAUAUGUCCAAACUAGAGUUCUUUUGCAACAGACCCACUCUUGUUGCUUUAAUUGGUUUUGGUUUUGAUCUAAGAGCUGUUAAUUAUGUGGUGAAUCAAAUGGACAUGAAUAAGAGCUCAGAUGAGAGUUCUUUGACCAACAAUGAAAAGAAAGAAGAUAAUGGGCGUGUAAAGGGGUUGCUGGGUUAUGGUAAAGAUCGUGUGAUGUUUUAUUUUACCAUGAAUGUUGAUACUGUGUCUGUGUUUUUGAACAAGGAGGACGGUUCUCAGCUUGCAAUGUUUGUGCAAGAGAGUUUUCUAUUAGACUUUAAGGUCUACCCAAGUGCCAUCUAUAUUGAAGGAACAUUGGGAAAUUUCAGACUUUGUGAUAUGUCUCUUGGUGCAGAUCACUGUUGGGGUUGGUUUUGUGAUAUACGCAAUCCUGGGGUCGAAUCCCUUAUCAAGUUCAAAUUUGACUCUUAUAAUGUUGGAGAUGACAAUUAUGAAGGAUAUGACUACAGCUUGUCUGGUCGGCUAUCGGGUGUUCGAAUUGUUUUUCUCUACAGGUUUAUCCAAGAGAUAUCUGCUUACUUUAUGGAACUUGCUACGCCACAUUCUGAAGAAGUUAUAAAACUCGUUGAUAAAGUUGGAGGCUUUGAGUGGUUAAUUAAAAAAUAUGAGAUGGAUGGAGCCCCUGCAUGGAAGCUGGACCUCUCACUUGACACUCCUAUAAUUAUUGUUCCUAGGAAUUCAGUGAGCAAAGAUUUCAUUCAACUUGAUUUGGGCCAGUUAAAGGUAACAAAUGAAAUUAAUUGGCAUGGAAGCUCAGAGAAGGAUCCUUCUGCCGUUCAUAUUGAUGUUCUUCAUGCUGAGAUUACAGGGGUCAACAUGUCUGUAGGAAUUAACGGUUCUUUAGGUAAACCAAUGAUACAAGAUGGGCAAGGACUUGAUAUUUUUGUUCGUCGGAGUUUGAGGGAUGUUUUCAGGAAACUCCCAACAUUUUCUCUUGAAGUUAAGGUGGGUUCCUUGCAUGUUGUGAUGUCUGACAAAGAAUAUCAUGUUAUUUUAAAUUGUACUUCUAUGAAUUUAAAUGAAGCACCCAAUCUCCCUGCAAGUUUUCGUGGCAGCAAAUCUGAUUCCAAUGAAACAAUGCGCAUGUUGGUCGACAAGGUCAAUUUGAAUAGUCAGAUUCUACUGUCCCAUAGUGUUACCGUUUUAGCAGUUGAAGUUGAAUACGCCCUCUUGGAGCUGUGCACUGGCAUUAUUGAGGAGUCACCUUUAGCUCAUGUUGCAUUGGAAGGAUUUUGGGUGUCAUAUCGGAUGACUUCAUCAUCUGAGAGAGAUCUCUAUGUUACAAUUCCUAAGUUUUCAAUCAUGGACAUUCGCCCUGGUACAAAACCUGAAAUGCGUCUGAUGCUUGGAUCAUCCACUGAUGCUUCCAAACAACCUUCUAGUGGAAAAGCACCUUUCUUAAAUGAGAGAAGUUUCAAGGCACCGACUUCUGAAGUUGGCAUGGACAUAGAUGUACCUGUUUCAACAAUGUUGUUGAUGGACUAUAGAUGUCGAGCAUCCUCUCAGUCAUAUGUGGUUCGGGUUCAGCAACCUCGUGUCUUGGUUGUUCCAGAUUUCCUACUUGCCGUUGGUGAGUUUUUUGUACCAGCUUUGGGGACAAUAACUGGAAGAGAUGAAAUAAUGGAUCCUAAGAAUGAUCCUAUAAGUAGAAACCAUAGCAUAGUUCUCAAUGGACCUGUUCACUUGCAGAGUGAAGAUGUGGUGCAUUUGUCUCCAAGUAGACAGUUAAUUGCUGAUGUUGUUGGUGUAGAGGAAUAUACUUAUGAUGGUUGUGGAAAGAUUAUUUGUUUAAGUGCAGAAAAACAUUUGAAGGAUUUCCUGUCAGCAAAAUAUCAACCAAUUAUAAUAAUUGGACGUGGCAAGAGAUUGCGGUUUAUUAAUGUCAAAAUUGAGAAUGGUUUGCUUUUGAGGAACUAUACAUACUUGAGCAAUGAUAGCAGCUACUCGGUUGCAAUAGAAGAUGGUGUUGACAUCUUGGUUUCAGAUAAUUUUUCAGUUGAUGAUGACAAGAAAAAUGUAGAUCACAUGCCUGAAUAUUAUGCUGCCUCUAAUGUGUCUUCACAUUCUCAAAGUGAUUCAAAAGUGAUCCAAAGUUUGACUUUCGAAGCCCAGGUGGUUUCUCCCGAAUUAGUUUUCUAUGAUGGUACAAAGUCUUCUUUGGAUGAUUCCUUGUACAGUGAAAAGCUUCUAUGUGCUAAAAUGGAUCUGAGCUUCAGGUAUGCAUCAAAAGAAAAUGAUACCUGGAUUCAUGCUCUUUUGAAGGAUUUGAUCAUUGAGGCUGGUUCUGGUCUGAUCAUUCUGGAUCCAGUGGAUAUUUCUGGUGGAUACACUUCUGGUAAAAAGAAAACGAAUAUGUCUUUGAUGUCAACUGAUGUAUUUCUCCAUCUUUCUUUGGGUGUCCUUUCUCUUCUACUUAAUCUACAUAGUCAGGUAGCCACAGCUCUACAAUUUGGAAAUAUGGUUCCCUUGGCUUCAUGUACCAACUUCAACCAGAUCUGGAUGUCUCCUAAAGAAAAUGGGUCGAGUAACAAUGUUACCAUAUGGAGGCCUGAAGCUCCAUCAAAUUAUGUUAUACUGGGAGAUUGUGUGACAUCAAGGUCUAUUCCUCCUUCACAGGCAGUAAUGGCAGUCAGUAAUACAUAUGGACGUGUUCGUAAACCAAUUGGUUUUAAUUUCAUCGGCUUGCUCUCUCGUGUUCAAGGAAUUGAAGGUCAUUCUGAUGUUAAAUGUGACUGUUCACUUUGGAUGCCCAUUGCACCACCUGGUUACACUGCAAUGGGCUGUGUAGCAAAUGUUGGAGACCAACCACCCUCAAAUCACAUUGUGUAUUGUCUACGUUCUGACCUUGUCACAUCCACAACAUUUUCAGAAUGCAUAUUUAGUGCCCCAUCAAAUCCUGGAUUCACAUCUGGAUUUAGCAUCUGGCGCAUGGACAAUGUUCUUGGAUCAUUUUAUGCACAUUCUUCAAUUGAAUGCCCUUCCAAAGGCAUUAGCUGUGACCUGAAUCAUGUUCUUCUUUGGAACUCAAUUCAAUCACAUUUGCCUACUGAAGCAUCUUCAUCAAGUUUAACUGAUGAUCAUGAGCAUGGGCAUCAGCAAACAAGUACUGAUGGUGCAAACUCAUCUGGUUGGGAUGGUGUUAGGUCAAUUUCAAAAGCAACUAGUUGUUACACAUCAACCCCUCAUUUUGAAAGAAUCUGGUGGGACAAAGGUAGUGAGUUAUGCAGGCCAGUCUCAAUUUGGCGACCUAUAACACGGUCUGGCUAUGCUAUGUUGGGGGAUUGUGUAAUUGAAGGCUUAGAACCGCCUAAUCUGGGGAUAAUUUUUAAGUCUGGCAAUCCUGAAAUCUCUGCAAAGCCUGUGCAAUUUACUAAAGUUGCCCAUAUUGUUGGAAGAGGCUUUGAUGAAGCUUUUUUCUGGUAUCCAGUUGCCCCUUCUGGUUAUGCUUCUCUAGGAUGUGUAGUCUCCAAAGCAGAUCAGGCACCAAGUAUUGAUUUAGUUUGCUGCCCAAGGAUUGAUAUCGUUAAGCAAGCUAAUAUCCUUGAUGUGCCGAUUUCUAGAUCUUCAAGCUCUAAGGCAUCUCAGUGUUGGAGCAUUUGGAAAGUUGAAAAUCAGGGUUGUACUUUUAUUGCACAUUCUGACCUGAAAAAACCAUCAAGCCAACUGGCUUACACUAUUUGUGAUUCUGUGAAGCCAAAAACACGAGAAAAUGUAACUGCUGAGGUGAAGCUGAGACGCUUCUCUUUAACUGUUCUGGGUAGCUUGUGCGGAAUGAUGACACCUCUAUUUGACACAACAAUCACCAAUAUAAGGCUUUCAACUCAUGGUCUGGUGGAGUCCAUGAAUGCUGCAUUGAUUUGCUCAAUUGCUGCUUCAACCUUCAACACACAGUUAGAAUCAUGGGAACCAUUGAUAGAGUCAUUUGAUGGAAUAUUCAAGUUUGAAACAUAUGAUACCAGUGUACGUCCAACUUCUAGUAUAGGGAAGAGAGUGCAUGUCACUGCAACCAAUAUUCUUAAUAUAAAUGUCAGUGCUGCAAAUGUAGAAACUUUUGUGGAGACCAUUCUUUCAUGGAGAAGACAGCUAGAAUUUGAACAGAAGACUAUCAAAUUACAUGAGGAGACUGAUAAUCAUUUUAGAAGUGGAGAGGACACUACCAUGUCAGUACUGAAUGUUGAUGAUUUCAAGACUGUAAUGGUAGAAAAUAAACUUGGGUGUGAUAUUUAUCUGAAAAAGGUUGAAGAACAUCCAGACACGGUUGCCCAACUGCAUCAUGGUGACUGUGCAUCUGUCUGUAUUCCACCUCCAAGGUUUUCAGACAGGUUAAAUGUUGUGGAUGAAUCUAGGGAAGCACGCUGUUAUAUUGUUGUGCAGAUUAUUGAGGCCAAGGGUUUACCCAUAAUUGAUGAUGGUAACAGUCAUAACUUCUUCUGUGCUUUGCGCCUUGUUGUUGAUAGCCAGGUGUCAGAUCAGCAAAAGCUUUUCCCUCAGAGUGCAAGGACAAAAUGUGUGAAGCCUUUAGUUUCAGAAUCCAGUGGUCUAGUUGAAGGCACAGCCAAGUGGAAUGAGCUUUUCAUAUUUGAAGUUCCUCGGAAGGGGCUGGCCAAUGUAGAAGUGGAGGUGACAAACCUUGCAGCGAAAGCUGGGAAAGGUGAAGUUAUUAGUGCUCUCUCCUUUCCUGUUGGCCAUGGUGUUAAUAUGUUAAAGAAUGUAGGGUCUACAAGGAUGUUGAAUCAAUCAUAUGAUGUUCAGGAUAUUGUAUCUUACUCGCUGAGGAGAAAGGCUCAGCCCAAUAAUGAUGGAGACAUGCAGGACAGUGGACACUUGUUUGUUUCCAAUUCUUAUUUUGAGAGGAAGACAAUAGCAAGCAUGCAAAGGGAUGCUGGUAGUGAGAGUCAUAUAGAUAGAGAAGUAGGCUUUUGGGUUGGUCUCCACCCUGAUGGUGCUAUGAAGAGCAUCCGUUCAUUGCUUCCAUUGUCAGUAGUUCCUAAAUCAUUUGAUAAUGAGUUUAUUGCUACGGAAGUUAUAUUGAAGAAUGGAAAGAAACAUGCAAUUUUCAGGGGACUUGUGACUGUUGUUAAUGAUGCAGAUUUCACAUUGGGGAUAUCUGUAUGUCAUAGUUCUUUUGUCAAUGAUAAGAAUGACUCUUUGGGAAUAAGCAAUUGUAAUGUAAUUGUGGAAGAGAUCUUUGAAAAUCAAUAUUUUCAACCAAAUUCUGGCUGGGGUGACAAGAGGCCUGGCUCUCUUAAUAAUGGUCCGGGGCAUUGGAGCACCAAUGUUUCAUAUUCAUCAAAUGAAUUCUUCGAACCUCCCCUUCCCCCUGGUUGGUGCUGGACUUCAGCAUGGACUGUUGCUAAAUCCCAGCUUGUUGAUGAUGAUGGCUGGGCAUAUGGGCCUGGCCAUCAAAGUCUGAAAUGGCCUCUAAUGUCUUCAAAGUCACGUAUGAAAUCAGUUAAUGAUGUUAUGCGGCGACGGCGUUGGAUCCGUAUUAGACAACAAGUCACUGAUCGAGGUGGACGUAACACGGAGGGUGAUUUUCUUAUCUUAACUCCUGGAUCUUCUGCUGUUUUACCAUGGAGAUUUACAUUUAAGGAUAGCAACUACUGUUUACAAAUUCUUCCUGUUGAUGAUGAGUCCUCUUGUACAUGGGCUCGUGCUGUUGCUAUUGGUUCCAACUUUGCAUUUGGAAAAGACCAGGCUUUGGUGGAUCAAGUUUCACUCUACAGACAAAGUACAUUGAAACAAGGAAGCAAAUUCUCUAAUCUCACUUUCAAGUUGAACCAACUCGAGAAGAAGGAUUUACUUUUUUGUUGUUCUAGUACUGGAAGUAAACAAAUUUGGCUGAGUGUGGGAGCAGAUGCCUCCGUUCUUCACACUGAACUGAAUACUCCAGUUUAUGAUUGGAGAAUAUCUAUUAACUCUCCUUUGAAGUUGGAAAACCGACUUCCUUGUCCAUCUGAGUUUACAGUCUGGGAGAAAACCAAAGAAGGGCGUUAUGUAGAAAGACAGCAUGGCAUAAUCUCUUCACGUGAGAGUGAACAUAUAUAUGCAGCAGAUGUCCAGAGACCUCUAUAUCUUACAUUGUUUGUUCAGGGUGGUUGGGUCCUCGAAAAGGACCCUGUUCUUGUUUUAGAUCUUUCUUCAAAUGCAAACAUUUCAUCAUUUUGGAUGUUCCACAAGCAAAGUAAAAGGAGAUUGCGUGUGAAUAUUGAAAGAGACAUGGGGGGAUCCACUGUUGCUCCCAAAACCAUAAGGUUCUUCGUUCCAUAUUGGAUUAUCAAUGAUUCAUCUCUGCCUUUGGCAUACCGAGUUGUGGAAAUUGAAUCUUCUGACAAUGCAGAGAUGGAUUCUAACUCACUAUCUAGAGCUGUUAAGUCAGCAAGAACAGCUUUGAAAAAUCCUACAUUCUCAAUGGAUAGGAGACAGUCUAGCUGUAGAAGAAACAUUCAAGUAGUUGAAGUUAUCGAGGACACUAGUCCUGUACCUAGCAUGCUUUCUCCACAAGAUUCUGCAGGUCGCAGUGGUGUCAUGUUGUUUCAAUCUCAGAAAGAUGCAUAUGUAUCCCCUCGGGUGGGCAUUGCUGUUGCUAUUCGCAGCUCUGAAAUUUAUGAUCCUGGGAUUUCACUGCUUGAGCUGGAAAAGAAGGAACGAGUUGAUGUCACAGCAUGCAGUUCUGAUGGAUCUUAUUACAAACUUUCAGCUAUAUUGAACAUGACCUCAGAUAGAACUAAGGUUGUUCAUUUUCAGCCACAAACCUUAUUUAUUAACAGGGUUGGUCUUAGUCUCUGCCUGCAACAGUGUGAUUCUCAGUUUGUGGAGUGGAUUCAUCCGACCGAUCCUCCAAAGCCCUUUAGAUGGCAUUGUUCUGCCAAAGUUGAGUUGUUGAAGCUGCGGGUGCGCGGAUAUAAAUGGAGUACCCCUUUUAGUGUUAGUAAUGAAGGUGCUAUGUGCAUUUCUUUAAAUUCAGAUACUGGAAGUGCUCAAUUGCAGCUUAGGGUUGCAGUUAGAGGUGGAACAAAGAGCUCACGCUAUGAAGUUAUUUUUCGUUUGAAUUCCUUUUCAAGCCCUUACAGGAUUGAAAAUUGUUCCAUGUUUCUACCCGUUCGUUUCCGGCAAGUUGAUGGUACCAGUGAUUCAUGGCGGUUUCUUCUUCCCAAUUCUGCUGCUUCUUUUCUAUGGGAAGAUCUUGGUAGACGACAUUUACUGGAACUUGUAGUUGAUGGAACUGAUAUAUCAAAGUCAGAAAAGUAUGAUAUUGAUGAGAUUUUUGAUCACCAGCCCAAUAUGGGGGCAGCUGGUGGCCCUGCUGCAGCUCUACGUGUUACCAUUCUGAAAGAAGAGAGGACAAAUGUUGUUAAGAUCACUGAUUGGAUGCCUGAAAAUGAACCAGCAGCAAUUAUGAGUAGAAGAAUCCAAUCACCACUGUCUCAAGUUUCUAGAAAUGACUCACAAAAUCAACAGUCACUGUCCUCCUUAGAUUGUGAAUUUCAUGUCAUUGUUGAACUGGCUGAACUUGGAAUAUCCAUUGUAGACCAUACACCUGAGGAGAUAUUAUACUUGUCAGUACAGAAUGUUCUUCUAGCUUAUUCUACUGGCUUGGGGUCUGGAUUUAGUAGGUUCAAAUUCAGACUGCGUGGAAUACAAGUGGAUAACCAGCUACCAUUAACUCUGAUGCCAGUUCUUUUCCGGCCUCAAAGAGCUGUGGAGGAGACUGAUUAUAUAUUGAAAUUUUGGUUCAGUCAGCAGACAAAUGGAUCUUUAGAUUUAUAUGUCUAUCCAAAUAUUGGUUUUUUUGUACCUGAAAAUUGUACCUUUCUAAUAAACAUUCACGAACCUGUUAUUUGGCGUCUUCAUGAGAUGAUCCAGCAAGUAAACAUUCAUAGAUUAUAUGAUACUCGAAGAUCUGCAGUUUCGGUUGAUCCAUUCAUUCAAAUCGGUGCUCUUAAUAUCUCGGAGAUUCGAUUCAAAGUAUCAAUGACGAUGUCACCUAGUCAACGACCAAGAGGAGUACUUGGGUUUUGGUCAUCAUUAAUGACUGCGUUGGGUAAUACUGAAAAUAUGACUGUCAGGAUAAAUCAAAGAUUUCAUGAGAAUAUGUGCAUGCGGCAGAGUACUAUGACUAGUAAUGCUAUAGCAAAUAUUAGAAAGGAUCUUCUUGGCCAACCUUUGCAACUGCUCUCGGGUCUUGAUAUAUUGGGAAAUGCUAGCAGUGCACUUGGACAUAUGAGCAAAGGUGUGGCUGCCCUAUCAAUGGACAAGAAAUUCAUCCUGAACAGACAGGAGAGCAAAGGUGUAGAGGACUUUGGUGAUUUUAUCAGAGAGGGAGGCGGUGCCUUAGCAAAGGGUCUAUUCAGAGGUGUUACUGGCAUAUUAACAAAGCCUCUUGAAGGAGCAAAAUCUUCUGGUGUUGAGGGUUUUGUUCAAGGUGUAGGUAAAGGAAUAAUAGGUGCAGCUGCCCAACCAGUUAGUGGGGUUCUCGAUCUUCUAUCAAAGACUACUGAAGGUGCAAAUGCUAUGAGAAUGAAGAUAGCAUCAGCUAUAGCUUCAGAUGAGCAACUUCUACGUAGGAGACUGCCACGUGUAAUUGGUGGUGAUAAUUUGCUUCAUCCAUAUGAUGAGUACAAAGCACAAGGACAGGUUAUACUGCAGCUGGCAGAAUCAGGUUCAUUUUUUGGGCAAGUUGAUCUUUUUAAAGUACGUGGGAAGUUUGCCUUAUCAGAUGCUUAUGAAGAUCACUUUUUACUGCCCAAAGGAAAGAUCCUUAUGGUCACACAUAGGAGAGUUAUACUUUUGCAGCAACCCUCCAACAUCGUUGCUCAGAGAAAGUUUAGCCCUGCUAGGGAUCCAUGUUCUAUUUUGUGGGAUGUACUGUGGGAUGACCUCAUAACAAUGGAAUUGACUCAUGGAAAAAAGGACAAUCCAAAAGCUUUCCCUUCUAGGGUUGUUCUUUAUCUACACAUCAGAUCAACAGAAACGAAGGAACAAGUUCUUGUUAUAAAAUGCAGCAGUGAGACCCAUCAGGCAGUGGAAGUUUACUCUUCAAUUGAGCGAGCAAGGAACACCUAUGGGAAUAAUCUUUCAAAGGAGAUGCUGAAAAAGAAAGUAAUGAAACCAUAUACACCACUUGGCAGUGGCAACAGUGAAGUAAAUCCAAAAGAAGGGGUCUACAUUUGGUCUCCUCAACAGGUGCCUGGAUCAGUUCCUUUCGGUUCAUCUUUUGGCAGUAGCAGUGGUUGAUUGGAUAACUCAUUGCCCAUGUUUCUGUGAUGUGAAAUCUUUUUUCCCCAUUCCCGCUGUUCUUGCAUAUAUUUCUUCCGCCAUAUGUAAUAGUUUCCUGUCCCAUAUCGGAAAUAAUUUGCAGUUGAAACAAGAAAGCCAUUUAUCUGAAAAUAGACAGACAUAUACAGCUUGGUGAUAAUUUUGUAUAGUAAACAUAUAUAGAUUCCGUAGAACAUAGAGAAGUGGUGGGCUUGAAGGAUUUUUUAUUGUUAGUAAAAAUAAAUUUUAUAAAGUUUGUGCUUAAUUUCAUCUUUUGUAAGUAGACUUGGGGACGAUAUUUGAAUUAGUUACAUACAUGCAAACCUUUGUAUAUUGAGGAGAAAGCCUCUCAAGGUAGAUUUGAGUCAAAUUGGUUUAAACUUGAAUUUAUGUAUAACAAGAAAGAGUUGAAUUCUGAGUUGAA